rnacentral:rRNA from 1 species
UACGUAGGUGGCAAGCGUUGUCCGGAUUUACUGGGUGUAAAGGGCGUGCAGCCGGGAAGACAAGUCAGAUGUGAAAUCCACAGGCUCAACUUGUGAACUGCAUUUGAAACUGUAUUUCUUGAGUAUCGGAGAGGUAACCGGAAUUCCUAGUGUAGCGGUGAAAUGCGUAGAUAUUCGGAGGAACACCAGUGGCGAAAGCGGCUCUCUGGUCUGUAACUGACGCUGAGGUUCGAAAGCGUGGGUAGCAA